rnacentral:sRNA from 1 species
GCAAUCGAAUCCAUGGAGAGUUGUGAGUGAGUGUCCAUCUGGCUUCAUAACUUCAUAAGUUUCCAACUCUGGAAACUCGCGGAUGGCGCAAGAUGUUAUUGCAGGAUCAAUACCUGCGUUCAUUGACCCACUACCGGCAUCUCCACUGUUCGUAUCUUUACAGUACCACGUACGAUAUAUCAUCUAUACAGACGGUUUUCCCCCGCCAUCAGAAACAUUAGCCUGAUAUUUUUGCUGAAUUUGAUUGAUACAAAAAAUCUAACAUCCGAAUCACACCAUUCGCGUUUCACGAAAGUAUCCAACAUCCGCCACAUCCCAGUCUUCCAUCGCAUAUAAAGGUACAUGUACAUACAUCGCAAUGCAAACCCUCCAGUUAUAAUCGCUCCGCUAAAAGAAACCAUCGAUAUAUUCGUCAAAAAAAGAAACAAAAAAAAAAUCUUCAAUUGAAUUUACAUCGCUCAAGAACCAAAAUAUAUAUAUAUAUAUAUUUAUCACAAAAGAUGGAGAAAAAUUGAGAGGGGCCAAACCAACCACCCUCUCUCCACACCCCGUAAACCGGGAUACAUCGGCAGAAGUCUGGUGAUGUGACCCCGCAACUCUACCUAGAAACUCGCCGAUGGCGCACAGGAUGUAUUGCAGAGCAAUCACAUUUUCUCCUUAACCACUAACCAUACAGAUCAAAUCUCCGAUUUUUCCCCCUCAUUCUCACAAUCGCCUACCGGCAUCAGUGACCGUUAACGAAGAAUCGUAGAUGAAGAAGGUCCAGGGCCCCUUGCCCGACGCGACGUGUAGACUGUCAGAUGUUGAUGGCAUGGCCCGCCUCCACAGAUGUGCCUUGCUUCAACCAUUGACUGCAAAAUUGAAAACUUGUGAUUGUGAGCUCAACAUAUCUAUCUCUCAGGUAACUGGAACAAUCAUCUAGUGAGAGACACUCUUUUGAAUGAAUGAAGUGUAACUUAGAGAAGU